CAUGUUCACGUGAAACACUCUAUACUCAUUUGUUUUCUUCUUCUCAUUCCAUUCCUACUUAUACUUACACACUCUCACUCUCUUCUACCACCAAAUCAACGUAACCAAUUCAUUAAGCUCCAAUGGAGUCUUCUUCUUCAGCCUCUAAGAUCUAUGCUUCCUUCUUCAUUUGCAUUCUCUUCAUCUCUUCCCUCACUCCCACCCUCGCAUGUGGCUACUGCGGUAAUAAUCCCCCCAAGAAGCACAACCCUAAUAAGAAGCCCAAGACACCCGUCAUUGUCACACCACCCGGCGGCAUUCUUCCUCCCGGUAUCCUUCCUCCCGGUAUUGUUCCGCCAAUAGUCAACCCACCGGUCACCGUUCCGCCCGUCACAGUUCCUCCUGUCGCUGUUCCUCCGGUGACCGUUCCGGGAGUGACAAACCCGCCGAGCACAGGAGGAGGAGGGAAGAAGCAGCCGUGCCCGUCGCCGAAGACGCCGGCGCAGGCAACGUGUCCGAUAGACACGCUGAAGCUGGGGGCGUGCGUGGAUCUGCUGGGAGGGUUGGUGCACGUUGGAGUGGGAGACCCGGCGGUGAACCAGUGCUGCCCGGUGCUUCAAGGGCUGGUGGAGCUUGAAGCGGCGGCGUGCCUCUGCACGACGCUAAAGGUGAAGCUUCUGAAUCUCAACAUAUACGUGCCUCUCGCUCUUCAGCUUCUUGUUGCAUGCGGCAAGACUCCUCCUCCUGGUUACACUUGCUCCUUGUAAUUCCAUAUUGUUUGUGUAGAUAUCACCUGAAGGAAUGGUUUCAUCGUCAUUACCUUAAGGUCAAUGGAGAUCAUAUUUGGGGCAUGGCAUGUAUGUAUGGUUGAAAUUGACAUGAGAUGAUUAUGAUGAUGAUGAUGUCGCCCACGCACUCUAGAGAUUAUUGGAAUUGUUGUUCUUGUUGCUAUUGUUGUUUCAUGUUUGGUUAUUAUUUGUUAAAAUAACCAUUUGUUUUUAUAUUGAGAUUACUGUUGCAUCUAUGUUUAAUCCUUAGCUAGCUACUAGGCGAGUAAAUUAAAGUGGCAUUAUUAGCAUAAAAGGUGAUGCUAUGUGACAUUUUAAUUAAGAUAUUUAUUUACAUGAUGGUUUGUGCUUUGUCCAAUUUCAUUAUUGUAACACUACUUGGUUUAAUUUCAAUUGGGGAUAAUUAAUCAAUAUAUUAUAUAUAUGUGUAGCUUCCUCCGUACU